rnacentral:rRNA from 1 species
AACGCACGCUAGUAAAGUGGUGAGUUUGCUCUAAUGCUUUGCAUUUGCAACCUGAGCUCACACAUGAUUACCCGCUGAACUUAAGCAUAU